rnacentral:lncRNA from 1 species
ACGUCACUUACGUAAUCAAGAAUCGUGUCUCCCAUCAAUAAUACCUUCUUCAAUCCAAUUUAUAAGACGUUUUGAUUUUUCUGAAUACACUGUUUUAACUAUGUAUAUCUAGUACAUAGCAAAACUAUAUAUCUAAAAAAAUUUAAAAUAUCUUAUAAUUUACAAUAGAGUAGGUACAUAUUGAGCAUGUCAUGGGCCAUUGUGCUUAAUUUUGUUGCACACUACUCUAAUUUAAUGUUUUUCUCCCCUUUGUAAUACACAUGUAUAAAACUAGUUGUAAAUUACUCGUACUCUUUCAAAAAAUUAUGAUAUUUUUAGAAUUAUAAUUACAAUACUCCUUCCGUGCCAUAAUAUUUGUCGUCGGGGAACCAGACUCAAGAAUCAAUGCGAGUGCCAAAAGACCUAGACACCCCUAAGCAGCAAUGAUUUACCUUCUGCACCUUUUGGGUAGAACGCCAUUAAUGUUUGUCUUUUGCCGUCAGAAUCCAAGCGUGCCACACAUACUAUCACAACAGAUUUUUUACAUUAAAUAAAUCUCACAUCCACUUUUCACGAUUACACACGCAAC